CUUCAUCGAUGUCUUCAUUGCGUGGGGUUCAUCCCCUUGUGGAUUCUUCAAAGAAGAAAGUACUGUCAUUUUCCAAGAGGAUCGACAGAUCAAUUGCAUCCUGAAUUUUCCUAGUUCACCAUGAAGCAAAUUAGUUUUCUUCUGCCUGCAUAAAAACCAAACUGUCCAAACAUAAAUUCUAAUGCUUAAAAUGGCGUUCUAUUCUGAAGCCAGGACUCCAGGAUCGAUGCUGAGCAGAGUGGCAACUAACCGGCUCUCCCGUCCCUCGCCACCUGAUGCCGAGGA